rnacentral:sRNA from 1 species
AUUCUGCCCAUGCGGGGAAGGAUGAGAAGCUUCAACCAAGGCUCGACUUGAGCGCCAGCGAGAGAGCGUUGCCGCAGGCAACGACCCGAAGGGCGAAGCGCGCAGCGCUGAGUAAUCCUUCUCCCACCACCA